UAGGUGUCUGAAGGGAGUAUUUACUCCAUC
rnacentral:piRNA from 1 species